rnacentral:rRNA from 1 species
GACGGAGGAUGCAAGCGUUAUCCGGAAUGAUUGGGCGUAAAGCGUCCGCAGGUGGCAGUUCAAGUCUGCUGUCAAAGACCGGGGCUUAACUUCGGAAAGGCAGUGGAAACUGAACAGCUAGAGUAUGGUAGGGGUAGAGGGAAUUCCUGGUGUAGCGGUGAAAUGCGUAGAGAUCAGGAAGAACACCGGUGGCGAAAGCGCUCUGCUGGACCUUAACUGACACUGAGGGACGAAAGCUAGGGGAGCGAAUGGG